UCUAAAAUAUCAGAGCUAAAAUGAAACGACCUGAAAAAUUUUCGUUUAAAAAUUUAAUUGAAAAUUUUAACCAAUGAAAUUUAGCAAAAAAAAAUUUAUUAUUGCUAAAUCAAACCUGUAAACUAGUUUGAAUUUUACGAAACCAAGUCAAAAAUAAAUCAAGCAAGAACCAAAUUAGACCACUGAGUUGGAUCAAAUCGAUUCGAAUCGAACCAGAAUAGUCUAGAAACCCCAGAUUUUUUUCUUUUCUUCUUCUUCCUCCUCUUGCCCGCACAGCUCACCUCUCUCCCUUUCCCUCUGUUUUCCGGCCACCGGCCAUGUAAUUCGACAACCAAGCACUCAAACUUCAAGUGCUCGAUGAGUGGAACCCAUCCAUGGUCUCGUUCAUGUAGCAAACGCCUGAAGCAAGAGAGAUCGCGCUUGAAAGUGUUGCACCCUAUCGAUUCCUUUUUCCGGCGAUCCACGCCGUUUCUGGCGGUUUUAGGUCAUGAAGUGAGCGCCAAUCGAUCCCUUCCCUCCACGCGAUCAUUUUCCCACAAAUAAUUUCGGUGAUGGGAAAUGGGGGACAAAACCACCAUGAGCGGUGGAGAUACAGCGACUUUCGGCUCGAUUUCGGCCACAUGAGCAACUGGCUCUGCGAACGGACGGUGGACUUGAACUCCUCAUGAAAUUUCGAGUCGGGUGGUGAAAUCCUUGCAAAGUUAUGGGCAAGCUCGACUCUACGACCAUCUUGAACGGCGAUGGAGGCAGCGGCAGCCGUCCGGUGAUCGACUGUCAAUACUCCGGCGAAGUCCCAGGAGGCAGAAUCAUCUUCUCCUCACGCAGAUUGUGGAAUCAUAGUCCGAUUUUUGAUUGGUCACCAUGGGUUUGUGAGGCAGUCUUCGACACCAUCGGCCAUGUAUGGUGAGAUCAGCGCACCCGUGUGCAUCUGAUGAUAUGGAUUAUAUGAAAAAUCAAAGGGUGACCUCCUGUUGGUAUGGAAAGAAAAGAGAUUAUAAAAAAAAAAAUGAGAGGGUUGGUUAAGUGAGGAUCAAACCAAUCGGCCAUGUAUUGGGGAUCGGCUCCCUAGUGCACUCGUCAUGAGAGGAUGGGCCACUGACCAAUUUCCACUUGCUUGAUUACCUGAAGGUGUAAUUACUUAUAGAUGCUGAUGUUGUGCCAUAUGUUUGACCGGCUGUAUGUUCAUUUUAGUACUUUAGGAAGCAUUUUAUGUGAAUGGUUGUGUUAUGCAAUAAUUACUAUUCAUUAUUAUACUCUCAUUUCUUUGUUUAACUUUUUCUAGGAAGUAGAUACUUCUUUGUCACGAUUAAAGUUCUGUCUCUUUCUCCGUUGACCUAGAAAAGUAACUUUUAGAGUUAGCAGUUAUUUAAAUUAUGUAGCUAUAUGUACUAAAACUUAUUUAUAUUUAUCUAUUAGUGAAUUCAGAAGUUGUAGGAUUGUAACCGAGGAUUGUAACCGAUUAACUGAGGUGGAUGUUUAGUUAUUCAUUUAUGUGAAUGCAUGGACCAGUUAGCCCA